CCAGAGAACUUAGCAGAGAUGCUUUUGGUGCCCUUCGGGAACUCUGAGACAGGUGCUGCAUGGCUGUCGUCAGCUCGUGUUGUGAAAUGUUGGGUUAAGUCCCGCAACGAGCGCAACCCUUAUCCUUUGUUGCCAGCGGUCCGGCCGGGAACUCAAAGGAGACUGCCAGUGAUAAACUGGAGGAAGGUGGGGAUGACGUCAAGUCAUCAUGGCCCUUACGAGUAGGGCUACACACGUGCUACAAUGGCGCAUACAAAGAGAAGCGACCUCGCGAGAGCAAGCGGACCUCAUAAAGUGCGUCGUAGUCCGGAUUGGAGUCUGCAACUCGACUCCAUGAAGUCGGAAUCGCUAGUAAUCGUAGAUCAGAAUGCUACGGCGAAUACGUUCCCGGGCCUUGUACACACCGCCCGUCACACCAUGGGAGUGGGUUGCAAAAGAAGUAGGUAGCUUAACCUUCGGGAGGGCGCUUACCACUUUGUGAUUCAUGACUGGGGUGAAGUCGUAACAAGGUAAGCGUAGACGU
rnacentral:rRNA from 1 species